rnacentral:rRNA from 1 species
CCUACGGGAGGCAGCAGUGAGGAAUAUUGGUCAAUGGACGAGAGUCUGAACCAGCCAAGUAGCGUGAAGGAUGACUGCCCUAUGGGUUGUAAACUUCUUUUAUAAAGGAAUAAAACGAGGCACGUGUGCCUUUUUGCAUGUACUUUAUGAAUAAGGAUCGGCUAACUCCGUGCCAGCAGCCGCGGUAAUACGGAGGAUCCGAGCUUUAUCCGGAUUUAUUGGGUUUAAAGGGAGCGUAGAUGGGUUGUUAAGUCAGUUGUGAAAGUUUGCGGAUCAACCGUAAAAUUGCAAUUGAUACUGGCAUUCUUGAGUACAGUUGAGGUAGGCGGAAUUCGUGGUGUAGCGGUGAAAUGCUUAGAUAUCACGAAGAACCCCGAUUGCGAAGGCAGCUUACUAAACUGUGACUGACAUUGAUGCUCGAAAGUGUGGGUAUCAAACAGGAUUAGAUACCCGGGUAGUC